CGCAAGUGUGUCCGUGCAGCUGGAAUUUCAACCUGGAGCUGAGACCUCCAGAUGGACUCCUAGAAGGGUGACGUGUAAAGCUGCAUCCCUCAGCAGCCCACGAUCUUGGCAGGUUUGCCACUGUGACCAAUGUUUUAUUGAAGCUUCUGAGGCCGUAGAGCACAGGGAAGUUCCGAGCACACAGAGGACAAGCCAGGGCGGUGCUGUGUGGCCCAAAACAACCUUAAGUAGGAGACAUGAGUGGGGGACGGUUUCUGACACCUUGAUUCCUCAUGUCUGUGUUUCUGCAGUGUGGAGCAUUGUGAGUCUGUGUGGCAGCAACCACGAAGAAAGUGAUACAGACUUGGUGGCGGAGAGCACCGACUGCCGCCAGGAUGAGGAGGCUGCAGAAUCUUGCUUUGGGAGGAAAGGAUCUUGCUGCAGGAGUCUGAGGAUAUGUUUGUCCUCUGUGAGCUUGGCUAGAAUAAUCCCAUGGUGGCCACACAACAGAGUGCACCUGCCACUGAGCCAGACGAAGAUACUGUGGAACC
rnacentral:lncRNA from 1 species